UGCCGCCGCACCCGCCGCUAAUCCCUAGCCCUGCCCACAAGCCUAAGCCAUAGCCCCUGCGCUGCGUGCUCCGCUUCCUCCGUGUGGCAGCUGUGGCGGCCGUUGCUUCCCUCUCCAUCCUCUCUGGCAGCGCCGUUGGAGCAGCAUCGACGGCGGCCGUAGAGCAGCCCUCGGACAACCAGGAUCCCUUUCAGUUAAGGCAGAGAAAGGUUCAGAACACUCCACCCUUUUAUUCUUGUAUGAUUGAGAAGAUAGAGUACUUGGAACCUUUUAGAUGUACGGAAAGAAAGCAGAUUGUACUUGUAGAUGAUGAAGGUGACAAGAUAAGUUCUUUUUAUCUUAUGGGAAGAGCAGGUUUUGCUUGCAAAUCUUUUCGGUUCAUUUCACUCAAUACAAGUAUCUGCUGUCUCAGUUGAGUUUUUUUUUUCGAGAAUGUCAGUUGAGUUAUUGCAAGCUAAAUAUUUUCUUAACUUUCAGUGUAGGGAGCAUCUUGCAGGGGACGGUUCUUUUGUUGCAAAUUCCGAGGGAGCUAAAUACUUGGAGUUGCGGCGUUCCUGGGGAAUGCUCAUGGCCUCGCCUUAUAGGUUAGUGAUGAGGAAACUGUGUUUGGAUGUGAGGCUCUGACUGCCUCGACGACAAGAAGAACCAGACCUUCACAGAUUUAGUCUUUUUUCGUGCUAUGCAACAACAAAAGAGGCUUGACCGGGGUAUUGGGGAGUUCGUGGUGAUGGCAGUCUCUCAAGAUCCUUCUCCUUCUCCCCUGCUCACCGAGGUCCAGAUGUGAGAAACUUCCCCCUAUGUAGCAACCUAGCAGGGGAACAAGCUACUGCAUAUGUUUGUAAUCACCUGCUGUUGGGAGAGGACCUGUCUCGACGCUUCAUCGCGGGUGUAGUUGAUCGAUGUAUAUGUAUAUCGGUAGUUCACUUUAUUGGAAGUAGAUUGCUGGUUUAAAAGUCGAAUGGUUAUGUUAGUCCCUGGUUGUGCCAAGAGCUCUCUCAUGUUACUCCGGCCAUUAGGCAUUGGUGCAUCGGUGUCCGGGUUGCUCGCAUUUGGGACUACUGCGGGACCCAUGAUGGUCAGACAGCAAUCAACCUCAAUCUUGUGCUGGUUGAUGAUAAGGUGCGAUUGUCCUAUAUAUACUGUUUGGUGUUGUGAACUUUUCAGAGCAAGUGAGUUCAAUAGUGUUUCAGAUAACCAGGUGAACCCUUCAGAGCAAUGCAAGCAAGCUCUAUUUUAUUCAAUUCUACUCUAUUUUAUUCGAUUCUGGUUUAGGAGGAUUGAAUUUAUUUUCCUCUGAUAGCUUGUCAAUUUUAAGUGAUUUCAGUAUCCCAAAAUUUGAAAGAAGAAAAUCGUAGCACUAGACACAACUAUACAUACUGCAGCUUAUGUCAUGAGAUCAUAUCAUCACUCUAUUUUUAUUCAUUCAGUUGAGUUGCUGCUGGAAGGAUAUACCUAGCUAGCCUACACCCUAGAGCAGUUCAAGUCCUUUUAUGCUGAAGUGAUGUACCUGAUUAUAUUAAAUAAAAAUACUAACCUCAGCAGCGCUUCAUGCAUACAUCAUUGGUUUAAACUUGAGGGUUUCACAGCCUAUAGUUCAUGAUUUUGAAAGUGAUGGCAUCCUUACUGGGUACCAGUUGUAUUGUGUUUCUCCUAAGCUUUCAAGUGACAUUCUUUCUCAGGUAAAUAUAUGGACAAGAUGCAUAACAGCAGGCAAUGAACCAACUUCACUAAAUUGCGCAUAUGGGUGAUUCAUCCACAGAUAUUCGCUAUAUACAUUGUCUUCUUGUAUAUAUGGUAGUGUACCUUCAGUUUUUUGUAUUAACUGAUGAUUGCUGAUGCUUGCUUUUUAAACAGAUCAGGAAACUGCGUGCUAUGUUCCCUCUUGCGAACCAUGCUGUCAAAAGGGUGCAAAAGCGCCGGCUGCUUUUCUGGUUCCCAGCACAGCCCAUGCAUCCAGAAGAGGAUUAUAGACUACUUCAGUAAAAAUGUAGGAACAUUUGGCGGUGAUUACCGUGCUCUGCUCCGCAGGAGUAGGUUUGUGUGCUCUCUUCCCGCAGAACUUGCUGAACACUUGUUUCUUAGGCUGUUCGAAGGCAAUUUUAUCUGACCGAACAUUUGGUUUUGCUUGUAGCACGUCCUUACAAUUUUAUAUAAAGGUAAUAACUAACGUAUGGUACAUUAUCCUUGUGAUUUGGUGUAUGCUGUAAAUAGGUCAGCCUCACUAUGUCUUAACUAAUCCUCUGGAGCAGCUCGUUUGGUAAAUUCAUCCCAAGGGUUGCUGCGAGGAUUGUGCAUGGCAUCUCGAGCCCAGCUUUUCCAAC